GAACUUAAGCAUAUCAAUAAGCGGAGGAAAAGAAACCAACAGGGAUUGCCCCAGUAACGGCGAGUGAAGCGGCAACAGCUCAAAUUUGAAAUCUGGCCCCUCGGGGUCCGAGUUGUAAUUUGUAGAGGAUGCUUUUGGUGAGGUGCCGCCCGAGUUCCCUGGAACGGGACGCCACAGAGGGUGAGAGCCCCGUCUGGCUGGCCACCGAGCCUCUGUAAAGCUCCUUCGACGAGUCGAGUAGUUUGGGAAUGCUGCUCAAAAUGGGAGGUAUAUGUCUUCUAAAGCUAAAUAUUGGCCAGAGACCGAUAGCGCACAAGUAGAGUGAUCGAAAGAUGAAAAGCACCUUGAAAAGAGGGUUAAAUAGUACGUGAAAUUGUUGAAAGGGAAGCGCUUGUGACCAGACUUGGGCGCGGCGGAUCAUCCGGGGUUCUCUCCGGUGCACUUCGACGCGUCCAGGCCAGCAUCAGUUCGUCGCGGGGGAAAAAGGCUUCGGGAACGUGGCUCCUCCGGGAGUGUUAUAGCCCGUUGCAUAAUACCCUGCGGUGGACUGAGGACCGCGCAUCUGCAAGGAUGCUGGCGUAAUGGUCACCAGCGACCCGUCUUGAAACACGGACCAAGGAGUCGUCUUCGUAUGCGAGUGUUCGGGUGUCAAACCCCUACGCGUAAUGAAAGUGAACGCAGGUGAGAGCUUCGGCGCAUCAUCGACCGAUCCUGAUGUUCUCGGAUGGAUUUGAGUAAGAGCAUACGGGGCCGGACCCGAAA
rnacentral:rRNA from 1 species